UACGAAGGGGGCUAGCGUUGUUCGGAAUCACUGGGCGUAAAGGGCGCGUAGGCGGCGCGACAAGUCAGGCGUGAAAGCCCCGGGCUCAACCCGGGAAUUGCGCUUGAUACUGUCGUGCUUGAGGCCGGGAGAAGAUGGCGGAAUUCCCAGUGUAGAGGUGAAAUUCGUAGAUAUUGGGAAGAACACCGGUGGCGAAGGCGGCCAUCUGGACCGGUUCUGACGCUGAGGCGCGAAAGCUAGGGUAGCAAAC
rnacentral:rRNA from 1 species